rnacentral:rRNA from 1 species
GACGAACGCUGGCGGCGUGCUUAACACAUGCAAGUCGAACGGAAAGGCCCUGCUUUUGUGGGGUGCUCGAGUGGCGAACGGGUGAGUAACACGUGAGUAACCUGCCCUUGACUUUGGGAUAACUUCAGGAAACUGGGGCUAAUACCGGAUAGGAGCUCCGGCUGCAUGGGGGGGGUUGGAAAGUUUCGGCGGUUGGGGAUGGACUCGCGGCUUAUCAGCUUGUUGGUGGGGUAGUGGCUUACCAAGGCUUUGACGGGUAGCCGGCCUGAGAGGGUGACCGGCCACAUUGGGACUGAGAUACGGCCCAGACGCCUACGGGAGGCAGCAGUGGGGAAUAUUGCACAAUGGGCGGAAGCCUGAUGCAGCAACGCCGCGUGCGGGAUGACGGCCUUCGGGUUGUAAACCGCUUUCGCCUGUGACGAAGCGUGAGUGACGGUAAUGGGUAAAGAAGCACCGGCUAACUACGUG